ACGCUCGACACCUACGGGAAGCAGCAGUGGGGAAUAUUGCACAAUGGGGGAAACCCUGAUGCAGCAACGCCGCGUGAAGGAAGACGGUUUUCGGAUUGUAAACUUCUGUUCUUAGUGAAGAUAGUGACGGUAGCUAAGGAGCAAGCCACGGCUAACUACGUGCCCGCAGCCGCGGUAAUCUGAGCGGGCUGGCAAGGC
rnacentral:rRNA from 1 species